GCGCCAUUAGCUCAUUUGGUAGAGCAUUCGACUCUUAAUCGACAGGUGCGGGGUUCGACUCCCCGAUGGCGCACCA
rnacentral:tRNA from 1 species